GGGCGGCUCUGUUUAAGAGAGCUUCCCUUCUGUCGAUAAGCAGUGGGUGGAACGAUCGCCAAGAAGCGGUGUAAGAGAAGCAAACCAGCCCCUGGGCGGGGCGUAUUUAUGCCAGCGUUGUGUAAAAGAACAAAGAGGGAGGGGCUGCAUACAUAUUCAUAGGCGUCCAGGGUCCUCAAGGAAGGGGCGAUUUUGCCCUUGGCCUACCUCCGCCCCUCCUCCCCCAGGGAUAUUUGGCAAUGCCUGAAGACAUUUUUGGUUGUCACGAUUUGGAGGUGGGGAGUGUCCUACUGGCAUCUGGUUGCUAGAGACGUGGGAUGCUGCUAAACAUCCUACUGUGUACAGGACAGCCCCCUCCCUGCCCAGCAAAGAACCAUCCAGCCUAACGUCAGUUGUGCUGAGGUUGGGAAACCCUGAUAUACAGGAAUAAAAUAAAACUCCAGGCUGGUGGAUCUCAGCUCAGUCUAAGAGAUUUCACCUCUCUGUGCCUCUGUUUCUCCAUCUGUAAAAUGGGUACAAUAUAAUAAAUCUGUCUAUGUGUUAUAUGCAUAUGCACUGAAGGAAAAGGGGGAAGGAAUGCAGGCUUUUCACUGUGAACUUUCCUUCUUUGUUCUAUUUGAAUUUUUUUUUACUGUCUGUAUAUAUUACCUGUUUAAAAUAAAUUUCUGGGAUAGUUACAACCAUAACAGCAAACAUUUCGUAUAUAUAUAUUUCCCUGCUAAGUGCCAAGUGUUGCUCUAAACACUUUAUAUUCACACAUUUAAACCUUUAAUAACCUUGCAAUAAGUCUUUUAUCAUCUUCAUUUUACAGAUAAGGAAAUUGAGGCGCACAGAUCUUAAGCACUGUCAUUAGCCCAUGGCCAGCCAUGAGUUCUUCAUAACUCAUUCAUUAAUUCAGUCACAGGUCCACUACGUGGCGGAAAGUGCUGGAACUGACAAAAUGAAACCCCCUGCCUCUGGGGAGCCAGCUGUUCCUGGUCUGGAAACAAUAGAACCAUGUUGUCUAGUGUUUACUGUGCCCGUAUUAGAGGCUUUGUAACUGCAGGAACCCUGCUGCGUGUUUAUAAUGUCCCUUUAUGGGUGGAGAAAUGGAGAUCAAAGGAAGAGAGCUGAAUGGACCACAUGUUUAAGAACAUUCUAGCAACCGGAUUUCCUGAGCGCCCUGUGCUGGGCACUGGGGGUCAGCAGUCUGUUCCAGGUGGGGAGAUGCUCAGAUUUCGAGAGGCGUGUUGGAACGAGGACCCACCGAAGGAGCAACAGAACACCUGUGAGAAAAGAAGGACAUCAACAACUUUGAGUUGAAAGUGAUCUGAAAGAUCAAGACCCGGAAUGCAAAGAAGUUUUAGAUGAAUAGAUGAAUUUAGAAUAGAUGAAUUUCUAUUAUGUUUUCUUUUUGUGAUACUCACAAGAUUGAUACACUGAAAAAAAAAAAACGAUUAUGUCUAAAUAAGUCCAAAAUGGUUCUUUCAAUACAUGUGAAAUAAAAACUCUAAGGGACGAGAAAGCAGCUGUGUUGUAUUUGAACGGAUGGUAUUUCUCUUUUUGUUUCUCGGAUCAUAAAAUUGUGGUGCGUCUCGCCAUCUGUGAGGUCUGAGGCUGAGGAAAUAGGAAAGUUGGGUUCGUGUGGCUCGUGUGAUUGGAAGGCUUGACCCCACUUCAGCAGAAUUUCAGAGCUGUCCUCUGCGACCUUAGAAACUGAGGAUGGGGGUCUGAGAAGCUUGACUUGGGAAUCAGAGA